rnacentral:sRNA from 1 species
GCUGGGCAUGGUGGCACGUGCCUGUAACCCCAGCAGUUUGGGAGGCUGAGGCAGGAGGAUUGCAGGUUCAAGGCUAGCUUCAACAACUUAAUGAGGCCCUAAGUAAUUUAGCAAGAGACCCUGUCUCAA